rnacentral:rRNA from 1 species
GAUCGCGGUGACUUAAGCGACUCGCUGCCAACGAUGUCAUGAGAAGUCCACUAAACCUUAUCAUUUAAAGGAAGGAGAAUUCAUAACAAGGUUUCCAUAGGUGAACUUGUGGAAGGAUCAUUGUCGAU